rnacentral:rRNA from 1 species
AAGCUCGUAGUUGAAUUUCGGGAUCAAUGGAUCGGUCAUGCCGUUGGUAUGUACUGGUCCUAUUGGUUCUCACCUUCUAAGGAACCUUAAUGUCAUUAAUUUGAUGUUUUGGGGAAUUAGGACUGUUACCUUGAAAGAAUUAGAGUGUUUAGAGCAGGCUAACGCUUGAAUACAUUAGCAUGGAAUAAUGAAAUAGGACAUCGCAUUCUAUUUUGUUGGUUUCUAGGAUCGAUGUAAUGAUUAAUAGGGAUAGUUGGG